GGCCGCAUGCGUUAGUGUCACACGUUACACACUUAUACAGACUUAUUGUUACGUAGAAGCACAUAACUUAGAAGAGGAUCAUGGGGAGAUCUUCGUCUACAACUGUAGGUGCUUUGGCAAUCCUUGCAAUUAUAUGCUUCUCUCUGUCAUGCUCGUCGGCCAUCCGAGUUCAGCAGGAAGGAGGCCGUCCACCAUCUGCUCCUCCGGCGCCGGAAGAGAAUCGACCAGUUGGCUGUCGUGCCACCGCUUCAUGCGCCGGGCCACCGCCGGGGACGACGGCAGUUGAAACGCCGCAGCGCAAGACCCUGCAGCUGCAGCAUGUGGCGAAUUGAACGGCCCUUACGAUUUUUGUAUGAGAAUAGGGGUUCUGAUGUUCUCAGCUGGAAUCUAGAAAGGGAUAGCUCUCUGCUGUGUUGUUCCUCUAGGAGUCCAGGGCGUGUCGUUUUUUAGGUUUUUUUGGUGGUUGUUAUUUUUGGUGUUGUUAAUUUGCUAUUCAUGUCAAUUUAUAAAUAAAUAUUUAUGUUAUUUU